UAAGGGAUAUUGGGCAAUGGGGGGAACCCUGACCCAGCCAUGCCGCGUGAGGGAGUGAGGCCCUACGGGUCGUGAACCUCUUUUGGAGGGGGAUAAAGCGCUCCGCUUGACGGUGCGUUGCAGGUACCCUCCGAAUAAGCAUCGGCUAACUCCGUGCCAGCAGCCGCGGUAAUACGGAGGAUGCGAGCGUUAUCCGGAUUUAUUGGGUUUAAAGGGUGCGCAGGCGGCCUGUCAAGUCAGUGGUGAAAGGCAGGGGCUCAACCCCGGCAGUGCCGUUGAUACUGACGGGCUGGAAUGCGGUCGAGGCGGGCGGAACGUGGCGUGUAGCGGUGAAAUGCACAGAUAUGCCACAGAACGCCGAUAGCGGAGGCAGCUCGCCAGGCCUGCAUUGACGCUCGGGCACGAAAGCGUGGGUAUCGAACAGGAUUAGAUACCCUGGUAGUCCACGCUGUAAACGAUGGACGCUCGUCGUCGGCGGCAGACAGUCGGCGGCCAAGCGAAAGUGAUAAGCGUCCCACCUGGGGAGUACGGUCGCAAGGCUG
rnacentral:rRNA from 1 species